UACGUAGGGCGCGAGCGUUAUCCGGAAUUAUUGGGCGUAAAGAGCUCGUAGGCGGUAUGUCACGUCUGCUGUGAAAACUGGAGGCUCAACCUCCAGCCUGCAGUGGGUACGGGCAAACUAGAGUGCGGUAGGGGAGAUUGGAAUUCCUGGUGUAGCGGUGGAAUGCGCAGAUAUCAGGAGGAACACCGGUGGCGAAGGCGGUCUCUGGGCCGAUACUGACGCUGAGGAGCGAAAGCGUGGGGAGCGAACAGG
rnacentral:rRNA from 1 species